CAGUCGCCGCGGUAAUACGUAGGUGCAAGCGUUGUCCGGAAUUAUUGGGCGUAAAGGGCUCGCAGGCGGUUUCUUAAGUCUGAUGUGAAAGCCCCCGGCUCAACCGGGGAGGGUCAUUGGAAACUGGGAAACUUGAGUGCAGAAGAGGAGAGUGGAACUCCACGUGUAGCGGUGAAAUGCGUAGAGAUGUGGAGGAACACCAGUGGCGAAGGCGACUCUCUGGUCUGUAACUGACGCUGAGGAGCGAAAGCGUGGGGAGCGAACAGGAUUAGAUACCCCAGUAGUCCCUGUCUCUUAUACC
rnacentral:rRNA from 1 species